GGUCCAGGAGCAAACUUGGUCGAGCUUGCACCAAAGUAUUCAAGUGUAUUAAUGGGUAUUUCUAACUUUGCCUGUAAUAUCACUGGUUUUAUUUCACCAGAAGUGGUUGGAAGUCUUACAGAGCACGGGAAUAUUCAUCGUCAAUGGUCAAUUGUAUUCUAUAUCACGGCUGCCAUCGAGGUUUUUGGAAUGCUCUUGUAUCUUGCAUUUGGUUCGUCAGAAAAACAACCAUGGGCUGAUAAUUGAGUCGUUCAUUCACUUUCUGAAGUCUCUGUGGCCUCCCAGAGCAUUUUUAUGUUUUAUAAUUCAUCGUUCUUUUAUUUUUAAUCACUAUAACAUUCAAUAUUUAAAAAUAUUUAUUAAAUUUUUGUUCCAGUACAGUUGUUUUUCUUUGCACGCAUUGUCCCACACCACGUGCACCGCAGUGCAGCAGCAGUCCAGUAUCCACUGACUUGGAUAUGAUGUUUUAGUCACGUGAUCUAAUUCGGUAACUUUGUGACAUUCAUUUAUACUGAUCAUACACUUCUUCUUGUAGUCAUUUCACUCAUUUGCAAUCUUCAAAACAUUUAAAAUUUGUAAAUAGAGACAGUAAUAAAAUAUCAAUGAAUGA